rnacentral:tRNA from 2 species
GGGAAAGCCCAAUCGGACUUGGAGAUAGCUGGUUUUCUACGAAAACUAUGUAAGUAGUGCGUUCACAUAGGGCAUU